UAGCCAUGAGCAUGUGGAAAGGGGAGAAGGGAACGGGGAGAGGGGGGACAAAGGGGGAAGAGAAAGAGAGAAAGAGUCCAGUGGCUUUCUUGAUUUUUAUUGAAAAUUAUGAAUAUUUUUACUAAGACAGAAGUUCAAUAAGGUAUUGAGACACAAGUUACAGUCUUUACCACAUUUGCUCACUGGCAAAUCACAUUGUAAUACAGUACAAUAGUUGGUUAUUCUAUUACUAAUGUAGAUUGAGACCCUCAAUCCAUAUGCCUGCUAGGCUGUGGCAUUGAGAGAUGUGGACAGGAAGUGGAUUGCUUGGUCAGUAGCUAAGAGCACUCACUGCUCUUGCAGAAGACCCAGGUUCUGGUCUCAGCACCUUUAUAUUGUGGUUCACAGUCACCUUUAAUCCAGUUCCAGGAUGUCCAGUGUUCUCUUUUGAGCUCUGUAGAUACCAGGCAAGUGUGUGCACAUACAUAAAAUGUAGACAAAAUGCUUAUACAUACAAGUAAAUCUUUUAAAAGAAGUUAGACUUUGACAAAAAAAAAAAAUUCAUGUUGAGCCAAACUCAUGAGUCAGCUGAUCUUCAGGAUUGCCCCAUAGGAGGAGCUACUGGGAGAGCAUAGUUGCUGGGGAAGGGAGAAUCAUUCUUUACCGGCAACACUAGCUAGGCUUAGUGUUUAUACAAACAAACAAAAGCAUGAAAUGGAAGAAGGGCAUGAUGGGAAAAUGGAGUUGGAAGAGGAAACGGUGUAUGUGAUCAUCGUAUGCAUAUAUGAAGUUCUCAAAAUUGUAAAACUAAGUAUAUCAUUGCUGUCAAGUUGAAGGUGAUUGUAAAUCUUCUAAGAGACCAGUUCACUUUGAAACUGGUGCCUUCCUUGGGGGAAGAGAGGAAGGAAAUAGUUGUAAUACAAGAACACUGCCUGUGACCUCCAGUCCCAGUCAGCUGCAUCCCUGUGAAGGCGGAUUCCUUCAUAAGACUGAGUCAGAUGGAAAGAAGAGCAGAGGAAACUCAGGGAGGCCUGGUGGAGCCCUAAGACUUCACAGUUUGCACUUUCUAGUCUGGCAGGGCUACCCAUGCUCCUGGGAAAGUUGCUGCAGCCCGUGUGUAGGUGGAUCUGGCCUCCCUUCCCUGACGAGAUCACUGCUUAUUGCCAUGCUUCAGUGGAGACCGGCAUGGAAGCAGAAGCCGGUCAUCUACUGGCACCUGAACCUGGAUUCUAAAUAAAAAGCCAAGAGUCAACUAGUCCCUUCUACUGAGAGCCUCUGGCACUGGAAAACAGAAUCAGUAAGCAUAUGAAUGGAAAAGAAGAGGUUCAUGUAUUGGGGUGACUCCCAGCUGUGGGAUGUGACAAGUCCCAAGACUACAGGUUUGUCGGCAAGCUAGAGAGUCAUCAGAGACAGUGUCUCAGUUAAAGGUCUUAGGAAAGAAGAAUCCUCUCUUACUCAGCGACAGCGUUCACUGCCCCUUUGACACCAGCGAGCAAUGGGCAGCUAGUGCUGUGAAGAGAAGUCAGGAAUCGUCAAGGACAGUUCCCUUGGGGAAGUGAGACCGAAACAACCCCGACUUCACUCCAGAGCAGCAGGUCUCAGCCUUUGGUUUUCAAAGAUUGUGAUGUGUAUGAAGGAACAACGACCAUAAAUUGUCUCACAGUC
rnacentral:lncRNA from 1 species